UCAUCACCAUCUACCCUGAUUAUCUUUCGGGUAUUUUGUGAUGCUUGGAAGAUAACAAAUCUUCCGAGUGUGCGAUAAAAUGACGAACAAUAUAAACCUCUCGGAAGCCAUUUCGAGAGGUUUUUUUAUC
rfam:Pasteurella multocida subsp. multocida str. Anand1_buffalo contig1271, whole genome shotgun sequence.